rnacentral:rRNA from 1 species
GACGAACGCUGGCGGCGUGCUUAACACAUGCAAGUCGAACGCUGAAGCUUGGUGCUUGUACUGGGUGGAUGAGUGGCGAACGGGUGAGUAAUACGUGAGGAACCUGCCCUUGACUCUGGGAUAAGCCUGGGAAACUGGGUCUAAUACUGGAUACGACAUGUCACCGCAUGGUGGUGUGUGGAAAGGGCUUUACUGGUUUUGGAUGGGCUCACGGCCUAUCAGCUUGUUGGUGGGGUAAUGGCUCACCAAGGCGACGACGGGUAGCCGGCCUUAGAGGGUGACCGGCCACACUGGGACUGAGACACGGCCCAGACUCCUACGGGAGGCAGCAGUGGGGUAUAUUGCACAAUGGGCGGAAGCCUGAUGCAGCGACGCCGCGUGAGGGAUGACGGCCUUCGGGUUGUAAACCUCUUUCAGCACGGAAGAAGCGAAAGUGACGGUACGUGCAGAAGAAGCGCCGGCUAACUACGUG